GGGAAACCGAGUCUUAACCGGGCGUUAAGUUGCAGGGUAUAGACCCGAAACCCGGUGAUCUAGCCAUGGGCAGGUUGAAGGUUGGGUAACACUAACUGGAGGACCGAACCGACUAAUGUUGAAAAAUUAGCGGAUGACCUGUGGCUGGGGGUGAAAGGCCAAUCAAACCGGGAGAUAGCUGGUUCUCCCCGAAAGCUAUUUAGGUAGCGCCUCGUGAAUUCAUCUCCGGGGGUAGAGCACUGUUUCGGCUAGGGGGCCAUCCCGGCUUACCAACCCGAUGCAAACUGCGAAUACCGGAGAAUGUUAUCACGGGAGACACACGGCGGGUGCUAACGUCCGUCGUGAAGAGGGAAACAACCCAGACCGCCAGCUAAGGUCCCAAAGUCAUGGUUAAGUGGGAAACGAUGUGGGAAGGCCCAGACAGCCAGGAUGUUGGCUUAGAAGCAGCCAUCAUUUAAAGAAAGCGUAAUAGCUCACUGGUCGAGUCGGCCUGCGCGGAAGAUGUAACGGGGCUAAACCAUGCACCGAAGCUGCGGCAGCGAACGUAUCACCCAAGACAACUUUACGGAGUUGACGAUUGACGGAGCGAAGCGACGUCAAAGCGUUCAUUAAAGUCGAGUUGGCUUAGGGAUACGUUCGUUGGGUAGGGGAGCGUUCUGUAAGCCUGUGAAGGUGUGUCGUGAGGCAUGCUGGAGGUAUCAGAAGUGCGAAUGCUGACAUAAGUAACGAUAAAGCGGGUGAAAAGCCCGCUCGCCGGAAGACCAAGGGUUCCUGUCCAACGUUAAUCGGGGCAGGGUGAGUCGACCCCUAAGGCGAGGCCGAAAGGCGUAGUCGAUGGGAAACGGGUUAAUAUUCCCGUACUUGGUGUUACUGCGAAGGGGGGACGGAGAAGGCUAUGUUGGCCGGGCGACGGUUGUCCCGGUUUAAGCGUGUAGGUGUGUGUUCCAGGUAAAUCCGGUUCACUUUAACACUGAGGCGUGACGACGAGGCACUACGGUGCUGAAGCAACAAAUGCCCUGCUUCCAGGAAAAGCCUCUAAGCAUCAGGUAACAC
rnacentral:rRNA from 1 species